GACGAACGCUGGCGGCGUGCUUAACACAUGCAAGUCGAACGAUGAAGCCGGAGCUUGCGCUGGUGAAUUAGUGGCGAACGGGUGAGUAACACGUGAGUAACCUGCCCUUGACUCUGGGAUAACUGCGGGAAACUGUAGCUAAUACCGGAUACGACCCUCGGAGGCAUCUCCUGGGGGUGGAAAGAAUUUCGGUCAAGGAUGGACUCGCGGCCUAUCAGCUAGUUGGUGAGGUAAAGGCUCACCAAGGCGACGACGGGUAGCCGGCCUGAGAGGGGGACCGGCCACACUGGGACUGAGACACGGCCCAGACUCCUACGGGAGGCAGCAGCGGGGAAUAUUGCACAAUGGGCGCAAGCCUGAUGCAGCAACGCCGCGUGAGGGAUGACGGCCUUCGGGUUGUAAACCUCUUUUAGUAGGGAAGAAGCGAAAGUGACGGUACCUGCAGAAAAAGCACCGGCUAACUACGUGCCAGCAGCCGCAGUAA
rnacentral:rRNA from 1 species